UGACAUAGUACACCACAGUGUUUUUAGCUACUUUUAUCUGGGUCAUCUGUUAUCAAAAGUAUCCUAAAGGAUACAAGCACAGACUCAUCCUGGACCCUAGUCACUUGCCCUUUCUGAACUUCAGUUUCUCCUUGUAUUAAAUGAUGGGGUUGGAUGAGAUUUAUGCUGGCAAAUGGCCCAGACUCAGCCUGACAGUUGCGUUUAGGUUUCCCUGUGUAUCAUACAGACCAAGCAUCCUAAGAACAUGUGACUCUUACUUCCUAAAAUCCUUCUCACUGCCAUUAGGUGCCUCCAAUCUCACAGGAUAGUGGUGAGAACCAGAAUCUUUUCUGUUAAUCCUAACUCCAACUCUUCUGGAACGAAGAAUCUCUUUGGACACUCUGGCUUUUCUCUGUAAGUGCUCAUGGCUGGGGUGAAGGAAGGGGGUCUUAAAUUCUCGUGUGGCUUUAGAACUACGUGGUUUUCUCCAGAUCUGCUAUAGCACUGCAGCGUUAGUUGUGGCCCUGGACCCUGUAGAGCAUCUUCAAAGAGGUAGUAGGUCUUUCCCAUUCUUUGGAAUAUUGUGCUGCUUCCACAGUAUUAGAGACCCUAUAUUUUGUAACCUCUGAUGCCAGGUCUCUUCCAGCUGCCUGUGCUGGAUGCCUGCAUAUUCCCUCCCUGGGAUAUGCAUAUGGAUAGGUGCUGGGGAAGUCGGAAUAUUACUUAGAUCUAUUAUCCUAGAUACCUCUCUACACCCAUAUGUUUUAUGCUCUCCUUUGGGAUAUGGUGCCAAGCCACAGGCAGAGUUUUCUUGUUGUCUCUCCCAGGCAAUUCCCAGAAGAGUGGGCUCUGGCUUCCUGCUGUCCCCAAUCCCCUCAUUCCCGUGUGGAUAUCUCCAUCACGAGCUCCCCUACCCUUUGUCCAGAUAUGUCUACGCAGUAGGAGGUAGAGAUGAGAGAUGAAUGAGAAUCCUGCUAUCUGCUUUCCUCAUCAACUUCCUUCUCUCCACACCCCCUUCGGACAAAUGGCCCAAGAUUUCCUUCUCAUUUUACUGACAGGAAGGGACUUCCUCUGUCACAAAUCCUCCUCCACUGGGACUCAUGACUUAGUGGUGGACAGGAAAGAGAGUGGUAAACCAGAGAUAACCUAAAUCGAAAUAAUUUAAGAAACUGUAUCAUUGUACUACAUUUAAUUCCUUUUUGGCUUAUUGCCAACAUGUUAAAAAAUUACAGAGUCUAUACGUAAAAAUCUAGAAUUGUAUCUUCUCUUGAAAACUUAGACGUUCUGGCAACAGGGAACUCAUACUCUUGGGCACAGUCAUUGGCUUGAGCUGAGUAGACGCUUCCUCCCUUCAGUGGUGCAGGUGCUAUUGGGUUCUUCACAGUCUGGACACUGUCCUUUGUCUUGGAUCAAUUCAUCCAUCUCUGUUCCCCUUCUUGCCCCGUAAGCAUUUAAUUUUCUAAGACACUCUGCUUACACGGCUGCGACUCUCCCUGUCCUCACCUACCCCAUGGCCAGCAUCCUGUUAAGCAGAGCCAGGGAAUAUAGCAUCUUACAGCCUGAUAAAGGUUUGAUUAGCACAUGAAUAUAUAACAUAUUAUAGGUGAUUACAUAACCCCAUGAAAUGUGUACAACUAACACUUAUUUUAACAUAGCAAGAAAGGGAUCAUAUGGAGUUCCCAUUGUGGCUCAGUGGAUAACGAAUCCGACUAGGAACCAUGAGGUUGCGGGUUCGGUCCCUGGCCUUGCUCAGUGGGUUAAGGAUCCGGCGUUGCUGUGAACUGUGGUGUAGGUCACAGACGUGGCUCGGAUCCCAUGUUGCUGUGGCUCUGGCGUAGGCUGGCGGCUACAGCUCCGAUUCAACCCCUAGCCUGAGAACCUCCAUAUGCCAUGGGAGCGGCCCUAGAAAAGGCAAAAAAAAGACAAAAAUAAAAAGAAAGGGAUCAUACAACUUUCUAAAAGUGCUUGAACAUGUCACUGCGUUUUCGUCCUUUGAACAAGCUGUGGGACUGUAGGCAGGUUACUUGGGCUAACUGGACUCCCAUUUCUUCAAUCGUGGAAUGAAGUGGGCAGGAGUAAUUCCAGGACUCUGAAAUCACAUGAGUCCAGCACAAUAAGCAUACAUCCUAAUGUCAGGAGACCAAGGAACGUAAGACAGACCGUCUCCUCUAGGAGGUCUAUGGUCUAGUUGGGGAAAAAGCCCUCUAGAUGGAAAGUGUCACAAAGCACAGAGGGCUCAUCGAGUUCCAGGGGCUCAGUGCUCGUAAACACUUAGAAUCAGAAGGAGACAGAGAACUUCCCUUGCCAAUAACACUUUCACCUAUAGCCUAACUUCUUCCCUGAAAAUUCAGCAUCACUCUGUUCCUCAUGAAGACCUCAAGUCUAGGUACGUUAGUCCCCUCCACAGUGGUCUUGCAGCUCUGUAGAGUUGCUGUCUAUUUGUCUGUCCCCCAUUAGGCAGUGACUCCCCCCCGCCCUCCGCUUUUUAGGGCUGCACUUUUAGCAUGUGGACGUUCCCAGGCUAGGGGUUGAAUCAGAGGUGCAGCUGCCAGCCUAAGCCACAGCCACAGCCACACAGGAUCUGGGCUGUGUCUGUAACCUACACCACAGUUCAUGGCAAUGCUGGAUCCUUAACGCAUUGAGCAAGGCCGGGGAUCAAAGCCAUACCUCAGGGAUACUAGCCGGGUUCUUAACCCUCAAUCCUAUGCUAUGACUCUUGAGGGCCAGGAAUGUAUCAUAUCUGUCUCUCUCUCUUGCUCUCUUUUUGGCUUCCUUGGAAUUCCCAGCUCAUUAUUUUGGUAACAAUACUCAGUUCUCCUUGAAUAAAUUAUGCCAGCGCCUCACUCCAUGUGGUCCUGAUGAGCAGGUGAUAAAGAUUUCCAUCACACACAUCCUCUCUCUGGUGGGCAAGUAAAAUUAGGCCAGAUUCUUUCGGUAGGGAAUUUGAAUCUUAAGGGAAGUGACAUGCUGCGACAGAAUAUUGAAAUAAUUUGAGCCAAAUCAUUCUUUCCGCAGAGUCCAUGUUGCUUCUGUUUCUGUGGUCCACUGACCUGUCCUUGUUCCUUGUCUCCUCCCUUGGAUGCUCAAUCCCUCCUUAACCCUGCAAUCUUUAUGAUCCGCCCCCCUCCACCCUUACCUUUUAAGUUAGACAAAGCCACUGCUGUCUGUUGCUUACAACCAAGGAUCCUAACCGCUUCUGGGAUUAAAUCUUGUUCAACUUGGGUGCCUAUCACAGAGUCUGGGAUACGGUAAGCUCUGGGGAUAAAAUAUUAAAUGUUUGUAAAGUGAAUAAAUCCUACCCCAUGCCACCAUCCACUCUACAGCAUCCCUGACAGAAGGCCGUCUCUCCUCUUUCUAUUAGACUCUAGUCAAUGAGGAAGAGCGCAGUCUUUCAUGAGGCAGCUCAGGCUAUUUGGAAAUGUGCCCCAAAUGAAUUCUAUUGCACAUCCCAAAUUGUGAGCAAGUUCUUCCCAAACGAGUUAAAAUCUCACUCACAUUGCCUUCCCCCAGCUAUUCCUUGUUCUUAACGGGGACCAUGAGAAUUCCUCCAUCAGAUAAUUUCAGAGUCAGGGCUAGCCACAUCUACAGGGCUUCAGGGUUUGCUAAGCGGUCUCUAAGGAAUAAUAACAUCUCAUAUUUGAAAGGCAAAUCAUACCAGGAAGAUUUUCAAAGCUUUUUCCCGACCACCAGGUAAUUUAUUCUUACAAAAUCUCUGAGACACAGAUUGCUGUGGGAUUACCAGUUCUCCAUCUCACAUGUCAGGAGACUCUGUCUCAGGAAGAUCCUCUCAUUCUUUUUUCCAGGUCACACAGCUACCAAAGGGCAGAGUUGAGACUCAAUGCUGAAUCAUUAUGGCUUAAUUCUCCCACAUUUUCCAUUAUACCAGGAGUCCCUCACCAUAAGAUUAUAAUAAUCAUGUCCAUGGUGAAGACACAGUUUUUUUUUUUUUUAUUUUUUAUUUAUUUU
rnacentral:lncRNA from 1 species